CUGCAGCCCGAGUGGUGAUCAUUAUUAUUGGGCCUAAAACGUCCGUAGCCGGUUUAGUAAAUGCCUGGGUAAAUCGUGUAGCUUAACUAUACGACUUCCGGGUAGACUGCUAAACUUGAGACCGGGAGAGGCUAGAGGUACUCCUGGGGUAGAGGUGAAAUUCUGUAAUCCUAGGGGGACCACCAGUGGCGAAGGCGUCUAGCUAGAACGGGUCUGACGGUGAGGGACGAAGCCCUGGGGCACAAACCGGAUUAGAUACCCGAGUAGUCC
rnacentral:rRNA from 1 species